UACGUAGGGGGCAAGCGUUGUCCGGAAUCAUUGGGCGUAAAGCGCGUGUAGGCGGUCAGGUAGGUCCGUUGUGAAAACUCGAGGCUCAACCUCGAGACGCCGAUGGAGACCAUCUGACUAGAGUCCGGAAGAGGAGAGUGGAAUUCCUGGUGUAGCGGUGAAAUGCGCAGAUAUCAGGAGGAACACCGAUGGCGAAGGCAGGUCUCUGGGCCACUACUGACGCUGAGAAGCGAAAGCGUGGGGAGCGAACAGG
rnacentral:rRNA from 1 species